AUGACUCAGGAACACAUGGGGCCGCGUCCACACUCACAGGAGCCCGGCUUCCUCAGGACCCCCUGGAGGACUCUGGAGGUGCCCGUGGGGGCCACAUCCACAUCAGAAGGUACUACUCAGAACCACAGAAAAUACUUAUUGCCAGAAGCACAUGCCCCCCUCUGGCCCUGCAUGCUGAAGCACAAGGAGAAUUUCCCCCACCUUCACCCCGAGAAGCUGAUGGGGCUCCUGGAGAUCUACACAAGUGUAGCGUCCCCCUGGAGUUCCUCCCGGAACUUUGACCUCUCAAGCCUGUCCCCAACCGAGCCCCCAGCAACGUGUCACUUAUCGAAGUGGCACAGGCUCCAGCUGUGGAUUGCUGCUCCGGUUAAGUUGGUGACCCCUCUGUAUUUGGCUCUCUCUCCGAGUUUCAAGGGUACAGUGCGCCUGUGACAUCUGUCCUCUCAGGGAUCCAAAAAAGGUUGUUGGUUUUCAGUUUGUUCAGUUUUCUUCUCACUGAGAUUGUUUGGAAAAGAAUGGAUUGGCAGGGGGACAACAAGAGAGAGGGAGAAGGUGAGGGUCAGUGAGGAGAGGUGGGAAGCCCUGGAAAUCGAGACAAUCAGGAACCAGGAGUUCCACCCUUCCUGCCCCGCCUCACCUCUUCCACCUGGCCAGGUGUGCACUCACCUGGCCAUGCAGCUCCUGCUGCCACUUCUGCCUCCACAUGGGCAGUUUUCUACUCUGGUUGGUCAUUGGAAUCCCCUUGGGAGCUUUCUUAGCCUCCUGCACCUAGGUUUUCCCUAAUCAGACACACUCUAGUGGCUUCUGAUGUGUAAUUGGUGCGGAGAACCAGUGACCUAGGUUCUUGCUCUUCAGAGGAUGGUCCAUGGCCAGGCAGCACGGGUAUCAGUUGGGAGCUGGUCAGAGAGGCAGCACCUCAGGCCCUACCCAGCCCGACCAAAGCAGAAUUUUCAUUUUAACAAGAUCUACAGGUGAUUUCUAUGCACAUUAAAAUUUGAGAAGCUCUGAUGAGAUGACUCUCCUAUAAUCCUGAAGCAGAUGGCUCCCUGAGAAGUGUGAUGCGAGCCAGGCAACCUGCUGAACACGUAGUGCCUGUGGACAAGUCCCACGCGGCCCACAUAGACGGCCUGCCUGCUGUCAUUGCCCAAUGGAAUGUAUCUGAAAUACAGAGAAUUAGAUCUUCCAAUAGGGAAAGGGGCUUGGGCCCCUUUAGUCUGAAACACCGCUAUAGGCCUCAUUGGCUAUAGAGGAGUAAAAACAGCACUAACUGAAUUAAUUGAAGGUUAUAGUUGAAGAAUUGAGGUUAACUUGGAGGCUAGGCUUGGCAGGGUUGGAAGUGGCUUCUGUGGAAAAGCAGAUUUGAGCGUGAGGCCGAGAGAACGCCGUGGAGAGUAAGGUAGUGAGGGGGGAAGAGCGCAGGUCAAGGCAGCUCAGGGGGCAGGGGGAGCACUACGGAGAGAGCUGGUGGCCUCCCACAGAGUGACUAGCAGAGGAAAAGCAACAAUGGCCCCAAAUGCCCACUGUCCCCAAGGCCCACGGAUGAAUUCCUCAACCCUGGACCAGUGAAUAAAGCAAAGGUGGUGUGAAGUGGCUGAGAGCUU
rnacentral:lncRNA from 1 species